CUCCUCCUCCAUAUCAUCACAAAUCACCACCUUCGUCUCCUCCAGUUUACAACCCGCCACUACCUCCACCUACCCACCACUACAAGCCACCAUUGCUUCCACCACCACGUCCUCCUCCUCCAUAUCAUCACAAAUCACCUCCUUCAUCUCCUCCAGUUCACAACUCGCCACCACCUCAUACCUACAAAAAGAAAACACCACCUCCGUCUCACCACAAGCCACCACUCCCUCCAUCCCAUAUAUACGCUUCACCUCCUCCUCCUCCUCGUUACCACUAGAGCCGGUGGCCGGAAAGGGGAGCACGAAGGACGAUCACCACCAACCAUCAUCGUCGUAGGGUUUGCUCUCGUAAGAAGUGGAACAUGCAAGCUACUGUGCAACCCAAGCGCCUGCUUGUUCGUGUUUUAAGCUUAUGUUUCGAGUGUAUGCAUUGCUGAGUCGUAAGUAGGAAUGUAAGAUCGAAAUAAAAGUGUGCUCUAGACUUCCUCGUCGAGUACUUCUUUUGAGAAAAGCCUUUGGUAUUU